rnacentral:misc_RNA from 1 species
GACAGAGGGUGCAAACGUUGUUCGGAAUUACUGGGCGUAAAGCGCGUGUAGGCGGCUUGGCAAGUCGGAUGUGAAAGCCCUGGGCUCAACCUAGGAAGUGCACUCGAAACUGCCGAGCUCGAGUUCUGGAGAGGAAGGCGGAAUUCUCGGUGUAGAGGUGAAAUUCGUAGAUAUCGAGAGGAACACCGGUGGCGAAGGCGGCCUUCUGGACAGCAACUGACGCUGAGACGCGAAAGCGUGGGGAGCAAACAGG